AUUGAACGCUGGCGGAAUGCUUUACACAUGCAAGUCGAGCGGCAGCACGGGGGCAACCCUGGUGGCGAGCGGCGAACGGGUGAGUAAUACAUCGGAACAUGCCCAGUCGUGGGGGAUAACACUUCGAAAGAAGUGCUAAUACCGCAUACGUCCUGAGGGGGAAAGCGGGGGAUCGCAAGACCUCGCGCGAUUGGAGUGGCCGAUGUCAGAUUAGCUAGUUGGUGGGGUAAAGGCCUACCAAGGCAACGAUCUGUAGCUGGUCUGAGAGGAUGAUCAGCCACACUGGGACUGAGACACGGCCCAGACUCCUACGGGAGGCAGCAGUGGGGAAUUUUGGACAAUGGGGGCAACCCUGAUCCAGCCAUUCCGCGUGAGAGAAGAAGGCCUUCGGGUUGUAAAGCUCUUUCGGCAGGAACGAAACGGUGAGCUCUAACAUAGCUUGCUAAUGACGGUACCUGAAGAAGAAGCACCGGCUAGCUACGUG
rnacentral:rRNA from 1 species